CCUACGGGAGGCAGCAGUGAGGAAUAUUGGUCAAUGGGCGCGAGCCUGAACCAGCCAAGUAGCGUGAAGGAUGACUGCCCUAUGGGUUGUAAACUUCUUUUAUAUGGGAAUAAAGUGCGGUACGUGUACCUGUUUGUAUGUACCUUAUGAAUAAGGCUCGGCUAACUCCGUGCCAGCAGCCGCUGUAAUACGGAGGAUCCGAGCGUUAUCCGGAUUUAUUGGGUUUAAAGGGAGCGUAGAUGGGUUGUUAAGUCAGUUGUGAAAGUUUGCGGCUCAACCCUAAAAUUGCAAUUGAUACUGGCAGUCUGGAGUACAGUUGAGGUAGGCGGAAUUCGUGGUGUAGCGGUGAAAUGCUUAGAUAUCACGAAGAACUCCGAUGGCGAAGGCAGCCUACUAGACUGCAACUGACGUUGAUGCUCGAAAGUGUGGGUAGCAAACAGGAUUAGAUACCCGAGUAGUC
rnacentral:rRNA from 1 species